AACGCACAUUGCGCUCUCCAGUAUUCUGGAGAGCAUGCCUGUUCGAGCGUCAUUUCAAACCUCAAGCACUGCUUGGUGAUGGGGGCCGCCGUGGCGGCCCCUCAAAAUCAGUGGCGGAGUUGGUCAGCACUCUGAGCGUAGUAACAUCAUUCUCGCUUCUGAAGGCUUCCGGUCUCCCUAGCCGUAAAACGUAUAAUUUUUUCUGGUUUGACCUCGGAUCAGGUAGGAAUACCCGCUGAACUUAA
rnacentral:misc_RNA from 1 species